CUAAAAAAACUAAUACAUGGGUUUUGGUCCAGGGGGUAGGCCCCUGGGCCACUGCCUCAAUCUUAGUGGGCUCAGGCUUCUGCUGCCAGUAUCCCACUCAGUGACCGAGAUACUGUACCUCGGCCAUCCCUAUAUGACACUUGCUGGGUUUAAGGGUUUAGCCUGCUUCCUUGAUCCUACCUAGGACUGCUCCUAUAUGGGCCAAGUGCUCCUGCCAUGAAAUACUAUGGGAAAGACUUUGGCUCCAUGGCAAUUGAACUAUAUGUGUGUGAUCUGAGCGCCAUUCAGUAAUAAUGUGUGCUCAGAUCUGAGCUAUCUGGAGAUAUGUGUUCAAUGGAGUUUUGCCUCUGUCCUUUGAGAUAAUUGGAUUAC